rnacentral:lncRNA from 1 species
AUGUAUAUGAUGAGAAGUCCAAGCUCUAAAUCAAUUCUCCCUUUUUUUUUGUCAUUGAAACAUGAAAUGAGAUUCUCAACUGAGAGGAUGCAAAUAUGUCAAACUUCAUCAAACUGUGAGUCUGCUCUCCUGGAAAGAUCUUGAAGAGGAUUGUGCCUGUGAUCUAUGGAGGAAGGAGUUUUUCUGGAUCUGGCUGCUGGCAGCAUCAAUCUGGACUCACUUGGACCUCUAACAACAGAAGAUCCUGGCUCUAUUUGAUUUGGACUCCUGGUGUGAGAUUGGAAUAUUUGGGAAGGUAAAGUUUUAGUUUAAUAACAUAGUUCAGUUAGUUAUUAUCUUUUAAAUUAAAUAUAAGAAUAAGUAUGUUCCUAAACCCUUAUUCCUUUCCUACCCUUCCAAAAAAAUAAAGCAGAAUUCAUUUAUAUGUUUUCUUCUUGU